GCAUUUUUACUGUGCCACAUCCAAAAACUCAACUUAAAUCUUAACAAGUCGUGUGUGUCAGUGUGUGUUACCUGUUUUUUUUUGUACAAUGUGCCAUGACGCUCUACUCUUAUGGAGUAUUUUUUUUCUAUUCUCACAUUUCCGGAAUCUUGGUUUUGAAGAUUGUUCUUCGAAGAGGUCAUGACACUCUAUUCUUGUGGAAUAUUUUUCUAUUCUCACGUUUUUGAAAUCUUGGUUUUGAAGAUUGUUAUUUGAAGAGGCCAUGACGCUCUACUCUUAGGGCAUCUCCAACAAGAGUACUUAGCAGAUACUUAUAUUCUCUUUCUUGUUUUUUGGGUUGAGGUGGAACCAAAAGUUGAAGAGAUGG
rnacentral:lncRNA from 1 species